AUGUGUAGGUAAAUUCAUUAGACAGUUUUAAAUAAUUAAUGACAUUUAAUUAUGUGUAGGUAAAAAGAUUUAGUCACAUUUAUUUUUUUAUUUUUUAUUUUCCAUUUAACUCUUAAUAUAUUUAAUGCUGACGUGGAAGUUUUAGUUACACAUAAUUUGUGACACAUAAUCAUGUGUGACAAUAUACCCACACAUAAUUGAAUAUGUGUAGGUAAAUUCAGUAUACGAUUUUAAAUAGUUUAAGACAUUUAAUUAUGUGUGGGUAAAAAGAUUUAGUCAUAUUUUUUUUAAUUUUUUUUUUCUCUUAAUAUAUUUGGCAAACAAUUAAUAAGUGUGAGAGGAACAAUUUAGUGACACAUUUUUUUUACUGUUGAUUAUAAUUUAUUUAAAUCUUAAUUGAUGUUUCAUUUUACCGCCAUUUUCCAAAACUCCCACUAAAAACUAUUCUAAUUAAUUCUACUUCCCACUACGCCACUUCACAUCCCCACCAAAAUUCUCUCUCACCUCCACUACCAACCCAAUCGCAGAAUGCAUAUUCACGCCAAAGAGGGAUCUCCAUCUCCACUGAUCUGCGUCGAUUCACCUUUUGCAGCUAGUCGAAACUCUAUCUUCCGCCAGCCUCUCUGCACCCUAGCGCCGUCCGCCGCUCUGCACCCUAGCGCCGCCGCACGCCGCUAUGCUCCAUCAGCCGCCGCACGCCUCCAGGCCAGAACACGCAGCACCGCGUUCUUCCUCUUCUUCCUCCACAGAAAUCGUAUCUAUUCCUCUUCUUCCUCCAAAAUCGUAUCUAUUCCUCGGUUUCUCUCUCUCACCAAACCCAUUUUCUUCCUCUUCUUCCUCCAAAAUCGUAUCUUUUCCCUUCCAACCCCUCCGUUCUAGGCCCCAUUAAUUGAACUGAUUUCCGGAUUUUUAUGCCCCGGAGAGGACCUCACUCCGGGUUCUGCUUUUCUUCCAACUAUUGAAGUUCGAUACGAGCACUUGAGCGUUGAUGCAGAGGCCUAUGUAGGUGGGAGAGCUCUGCCUACAGUGUUCAACUUCAUUGUUAAUAUCUUGGAGGUGAAUGAUUCUGAUUCAGACAGAGUAAUAAGCCUUUACCUAUUCUUCAUGAUGUUAAUUAGUGGAAUCAUCGAACCUGGAAGAAUGACGCAUCUUUUAGGCCCGUCGAAGAAAAUGUGAUGAUGAAGUCUGCCAACUUUCAAUCUUCAUUUUCUUCUAGUUGAGGAUGACAUAUGCUUUGGUCCCUUCAUAAGGAUUGUAGGACAUAUUAAGGAGCUUGCUAUUUGUUGCCUUUAUUAUUUCUCUUUCAUGGACUCCUUGCUUCUGCAGUCACUUGUUUCACGUUGCGUGUGUAAGUCUCAUAGGAUUUCAAUUAUUAACUGUUUAUUUAAAUUGUGCUGGUAAUGUUCCCCUGCUCGUUCUCCUCUUUUAUAUUGCAGAAUGUUGGGUAAGGUGGCCCAAUGCUGAUAACCAUCUCACAGCAAGUUAAAUAGUUUGUUUGCAAAUCCUGUUGAAGAAGAAAAAAAAUUCUUGUUGCUUUAUUUAUGUGAAGGAAGUCAUUGUAGCUUAUAGAUGUUGGCCAAAUUAUGACUAAUAUCUUGUUUCUCUUAUCUUGGCAGGAGUCAUUGAAAAAGUUGUCACGAUGGUUAACCAAUGUUCAACUCUUCCAAUGUACAAUGGAGUUGUUUUUUGAUCAAGAACUUGAAGAAAAAUUAUGAGUCCUAGAUUAAUUGCGAGUUGUAGAUUAAGUGCUUAGUAAUUUAGACAUUUAAAAUUAUAUGUAGUUAGUAAUUUUAGACUUGUACUUUGAUUUUGUUAAAUAUUUUUUUAUGUAAAUGUUAUGUACGAUAUUCUUGUUAUAUUUAAUGUGUUGAGUAUUUGAUUUUUGA